CUCCAACCCAAGACUUCACCACAGCAGAGGAGCUGGCCCUGGACUUAAAUAAAGGGAAGCCAGUGAUUGAAGGGAUCCAGGGAGGGACAGCCACUGCCUCUGGCCCAGCAAGGGAUACUGGCCUCCUCAUACAAGUGGCUGGUAACACCCUUACACUUUUGGAGCCACCAGACUAUAAUUCAUCGAGGGAAGCCACAUCUACAGCAGUGGAGUGCACUUCUGCUGAUGAUGAGACCGUGUCGCUGGACUCCAGAAGGCUCGAGGAUCCUGACAUUGGGCAGCCUGGCAACAUAAAUUCACAAACUGUCAGAUAUCUCUACACAACGCAUCUUAAGAGACAUAUCAAGCUGACAGAAGUCAAGAUUGAUGUGAACAAAAGAAAGCUGCAGGACAUGGACCUUGAGAUGAAAAUUUAA
ensembl:lncRNA